GAAAAAAGCCCCGCAUUUCCAAAAAUGUAGGUGCCCGAGGAUCGCCAGUCAACAAAGGAGAAAAGAGUUGCUAAAGCUUUUAUAUUUUUCACUGAAAGGCUUCAGUCAACUCACAUUCGGUCACUGGCUUGGAAUGUGCUGUGCUACGCUUCGGACGGUGAGAAGACAUUUCCCGCUCGGGACAAGGUGCCGGCAGCAUGUCUGAUGUCCCCUCCCCGCGGGAAAGGAAGGAACUCUUAAUCACGGUGGUCCCGACUGCAGGGCGCCUCUGUGGGAGAACGGUGCCCCCUGGUUACCGGCACUGGGUGUGUCUGACGAGUCCCCCGUCCUCAAGGGUCCCCAAGUGUUCUGGCAGGAGGUCAGCACCCGAACACACGCAUCGAUGCGCACUAUUUUCAGACACGCGGGAAGGAUGUUAGUGGGAAUAGAGGGGUGGGCGGGGGUCUUGACAGUCUCUUAUUUUCCAACAGGCAACAAAACAACAGACUGAUGUUGGCAACAGUAAUUUUCCAUCCAGCCAAAGUCACGAAGGGGCAUCCUUGUACCUUUCCUGUCUUGAGCCUAAUCAGGACGUAUUUCCCUGUGAAAAAACACCAAGAGAAUCUUAAAUCAUAAAGUGACACACUUCCUUGACUGCACAUCCUUACUAUUCAACAACUAUUUUAAGAAAUCAUUUUAAUCGUCAGAAAAGUGCGACCCCCGAUUUAACUUUUUCACUUCCAAUAUUAGAACCUUGAGUAUUAGCAGAUACCGAUAUUAUCCCAAUUAUAAUGUGGAAUGUUACAAAACCCAAAAGCCAGUGAAGUUGUCACGUUGUGUAAAUGGUAAAUAAAAGAGAA